GCUGUUUUACGUCCUCCACCUCGGGAGCCCCCGGUGACUGUCACAGCCUCUUGCCCUGUGAUCUGCAGGUUCUGGGAGACGCACAGCUAAGAUGCCAGGACAUCCUGGAAGCUGGGAAAAGAUGGAGUUUCACUCUUGUUGCCCAGGCUGGAGUGCAUUAUCCCAAUCUCGGCUUACUACAACCUCCGCCUCCCAGGACAAGAAGCUCCCAUCCCAGUAAGGCAAUGCAAGAACCUGAAGCAAAAUGCACCUGAGGCUUACAGUGGGGUACAGUACAGUGUCUCCUGGGAAGGUGGUCACUAAUUUAAUGGGCAGGGUGGGGAUGGGAGAAUGUUUUGAGUGAUAUUAUGGUCUGACUUGACAGUGGAGUCAGACAUGUUUGUGUUCCAAUCAGCACUGCCACUUCCUGAGUUUGUCACCUUGGAAAGAUUUUUUCACUUAUUUUGAUUUCAGUUUUUUAAUAACUGUAAGUUACAUUUCAUCAAAAGAGCUUAAAUGAUGUUUAAAAAGUCAAAGACUUUGAAAGGUAUAUUUCAGAAAAAUCUAGUCAUAUAUGUUAUUUGUUACAGAUUCUUAUUUACCUUUAUCUUCCCCAGAGUGAAUGUAGUAAGUUUCUCAUGUCUGUUUUUUCUGGUUGCAUGAUUUUUUUUUUUUUUUUUUUUUUGAGAUGGAGUCUCGCUCUGUCACCCAGGCUGGAGUGUAGUGGUGCAAUCUCGGUUCACUGCAAGCUCUGCCUCCCGGGUUCAUGCCAUUCUCCUGCCUCAGCCUCCCGAGCAGCUGGGACUACAGGCGCCCGCCACCAUGCCCGGCUAAUUUUUUGUAUUUUUAGUAGAGACGGGGUCUCACCAUGUUGGCCAGGAUGGUCUUGAUCUCCUGACCUCGUGAUCCACCCGCCUCAGCCUCCCAAAGUGUUGGGAUUACAGG
ensembl:lncRNA novel transcript